CAACAGCAACAACAACGUCAACAACCUUCCAUGCCAAGCUCACUACUCUGCAACAACAGCAGCAACAGAAACAUCAGCAGCAGCAGCAACAUCUGAAUGAACAUAACAGUGCCACACGUAGACGCACGUAGACGUAUUGCAUGUAACCGGAACACAAAAACUCGGCACGAAGAAGGCUAAAAACGCGAAAAUAAUUUGCCAUUUUUCCAUCUCCAACGAAAUCCAUAAAAAUUGUGAAAAUCAAUCGGGUGUGAAGAAAACAUAUAAAAAUUUAGAAAACAAAACAAGUGAAAAACAAAAAAUUUAUAUCACAAACCAUAAGGAAAAUCCUCACAAAUUUUUUGUUGUUGGUUUUUUUUUGUUACAAAAAUAGCAAAAGAAAAACAAAACUAUUUACAAUAAAACAAAAAAUAAAAAAAAUAAUACAAUAAAAAAAUUAAAAGUUUUUUGUGAAGAGCCCAAAACGGACCAAAAAAUAAAAUUUUCAAAAUCAUUGGGGAGUGAACAAAAUUAUUUGACACAACCAAAAAAAAAAAUAAUAAUAAAUUAAAAAAAAAAAUUGGAUUUGUGUCUUCUAUAAAAAUACCAAAAAACCAUUUAAAAAAGUUAAUUAAAAAGCAAAAUUUCUUGAAGAAAAAAACCAUCUUACCAUCCAAGAAAUUUGAGAUAUCUAAAAUAUAAUGGAGUGCGGUUAACAAUUACAUCCCUACCUAUGGAGAAAAAGUAAAUGAGUCUAUAUAAAUAUUUUGCUGGAGAAAACCCUGAAAACAAUUCAUACAAAAAGUUUAAAAACAAGCAACUGAGUUCAGACAAGGAGGAAAACAACAAAUAAUCAAGAAAUCAGUGUAAAAAUGACUUCGUUACCUUCGACACUCCGUACAACAGCAAUUUCGAUGACAUAGACGUGCGUGGAAACUGAUUAAUCAAAAUUUCAUAGCUAUUCUUCAGGCCAAUGUUCGCAAAUGAAACCAUAAUAAUUUAAAAAUCACUUAACUUUAAACUAGAGUUCUGUAAAAACUAACUUUUUUAGUUUCAAUCCAAGCCGGUACACAACUUCUUCACAUUAAGUUUUAUUUUUAUUCAAAACCCCAAAGCAAAGGACCCUUCAAAAAAGAAAAGAACCAAAAUUCAAAUUCAAAAAAGUAAAAAUUUCAAACUUUCGUGAAUACGUUUUUCUUUUCGACAGAGCUCUAGUAAAAUCAAAAAUCAAUCGUUUUUAUUUUAAAAAGUCAAAAAUUAACAAAUUUUGGAUUUCAAUUAAGAAUCUUUUGAGUGUUAAUCAUUUGUUUAAAAAAAAGAGAAAAAGCCGCAUAAAAAGGCACAUACCAGUCAAGAUACCCACAUCGUCUAAAGGAAGAAAGGCAAUUCACAAAAAGGUCUUGCGGAAAACAAAUUUCCCUAAAACCCCCUGAAUGUUGCUGUCGCAGAUUUUAAAUUUCCUCUAAACUUGGAGUAAACAACUAAGAAAAAAGAUCUUUUUGUAGAGUUAUCAGAAAAAUUGCUAAUUUUAAGAUGAGCCAAACAGAAGACAAGUGUCUAAAAACGCAUCAUAAGACAACCAACAACGAAUGGUAUAAACACCUAUUCAAAAUAUCUAAGACAGGCACAGGGUAUGUGUGAAAUUUUGUAACUAUAAAAAGUAUCGCAUUUAGAGAAAUGCUGUUAUGGCAGAGGCAGGGGUAAAUAACGUUUACAAAUACCAUGACAUUGGUGCAAUAUUGGAUAAGCAGAGUAUGAUAAGUCGAAGAAAAAAUUAGAAAAAUUGACGCGAAGCGUGCUUCUAUCAAUCAAAGCAAUAUCGACUGUACCAAACUGUUAUUAGGUUCAGUACCAAAGCGAUAUUGUUUUCACCUGACCAUUUCAUCCCCAAAUUUAUUAAAACGAAUAUCAUGGAAAAUAAUUUUAAUGUAUUUUAAUGUAAUGUAAU
rnacentral:sRNA from 1 species